ensembl:misc_RNA Metazoa_SRP Metazoan signal recognition particle RNA
CCUGGGUGACCUUCGUCUCAAAAAAAAAGAAAAGAAUAUAGGCCUGUGGAAGGAUUGCUUGAGCCCAGGAGUUCCGUAGUGUGUCAUACCAAUAGGGUAUCUGCACUAAUUUGGCAUCAAUAUGGUGACCUCCUGGGAGCAGGGGACCACCAGGUUGCCUAAGGAGUGAUGAACAAGCCCAGGUCAGAAACAGAGCGGGUCAAAACUACUGUGCUGAUCAGUAGUGAGCUCACAACUGUGAACAGCCACUGCCCUCCAGCCUGGGCAGCAUAACAAGAGUGUAUCU